rnacentral:piRNA from 1 species
UCUGUACCAACUGGUUUAGAAGUGUGAAGC